CCGCGGGGCCGGUUCCGGUGUAGGGGAGGCCGUGGCCACCGGAUCCGGCAUCCACGACCUCCCCGCCGGCGGAUCUAGCCACCCGA
rnacentral:pre_miRNA from 6 species